GAUGAAGAACGCAGUGAAAUGCGACAAGUAAUGUGAAUUGCAGAAUUCAGUGAAUCAUCGAAUCUUUGAACGCACAUUGCGCCCGCCAGUAUUCUGGCGGGCAUGCCUGUUCGAGCGUCAUUUCAACCAUCAAGCCCCGGGCUUGUGUUGGGGACCUGCGGCUGCCGCAGGCCCUGAAAUGCAGUGGCGGGCUCGCUGUCACUCCGAGCGUAGUAGUUACAUCUCGCUCUGGGCGUGCUGCGGGUUCCGGCCGUUAAAAGCCUUAUUUACCCAAGGUUGACCUCGGAUCAGGUAGGAAGACCCGCUGAACUUAAGCAUAUCAAUAAGCGGAGGA
rnacentral:misc_RNA from 1 species